UUGUUAUGAUUUAGAGAAACAAACCGGAUUAGCCUGAAUGGGAUUUUCUGACAGAAAUGGUUUCAAUGAAAUUUCUCCACCAUCUCGAUUCCUGGGCUCCAUCUCUGCCUCUGGGGGGGUUUGUUGUCUGUUAGAACAGGAGUCAGGACUGGUGGCUUCUCUUUCUGGUUCUGCCACUGCCUGUCUGUGUAGGUGCUUGGGGAGGUCACUUCCCUUCUCUGGACCUGAGGCUCCUCCCAUCUGUCCAAUGGGAACAGGGACAGUUCUCGAACUCUGGGCAGUUGUGAGCCUGAGUGAGAGAAGGGAUGUUGAAGCCCCGUAUGAAGGAGAAAGGGGAGUUUCACUGUGUUUAGCACCAAGGAAUUCUAAAGUUUGCUAAAAUGUCUAGUAUGUGGAAACAGGAAAUGGUCGGGGCCAAAUUUUUUAACCGCUGCCGUUUUUAAAAUCCCAUUCAGA